UACGAAGGGGGCUAGCGUUGCUCGGAAUUACUGGGCGUAAAGCGCACGUAGGCGGAUUGUUAAGUCGGGGGUGAAAUCCUGGAGCUCAACUCCAGAACUGCCUUCGAUACUGGCGAUCUCGAGUUCGGGAGAGGUGAGUGGAAUUCCCAGUGUAGAGGUGAAAUUCGUAGAUAUUGGGAAGAACACCAGUGGCGAAGGCGGCUCACUGGCCCGUAACGUGACGCUGAGGUGCGAAAGCGUGGGGGAGCAAACAGG
rnacentral:rRNA from 1 species